AUGUGAUCGUCUCUCGCAUAUCAAUAAGCGGAGGAAAAGAAACUAACAAGGAUUCCCCUAGUAACGGCGAGUGAAGCGGGAAGAGCUCAAAUUUGAAAUCUUAAAGGGUUUCCCUUUACGAAUUGUAGUUUAAAGAAGUGUUUUCUGUUGAGGUUUUGGUAAAAGUUCUUUGGAAUAGGACAUCAUAGAGGGUGAGAAUCCCGUAUUUGACCUUUACUUUCAACUUUGUGAAUACACUUUCAAAGAGUCGGAUUGUUUGGGAAUGCAGUCCAAAAUGGGUGGUAAAUUUCAUCUAAAGCUAAAUAUUGGCGAGAGACCGAUAGCGAACAAGUACCGUGAGGGAAAGAUGAAAAGAACUUUGAAAAGAGAGUUAAACAGUACGUGAAAUUGUCAAAAGGGAAGCGUUUGACACCAGUGUUGUUUUUCUGAAAAUCAAUUAAAGAACUGUUUAUGCUAAGUUGUUUAGACUUUAUCAGCUAACUGUUUAGUUUUGAGCUUUUCUUUAAUGCACUUUUCAGUUAACAAGUCAACAUCAAUUUCUUUUGCCGUAAAAAAGCUUGAGGAAGGUGGCUUGAGAUUCGUCUUAAGUGUUUAUAGCCUCUUGCCUAUGCAGUCGGAGAGAUUGAGGUCUGCAGCGUAGAUCCUUCGGGGCUAAAUGCAUUUGUGCUAAGUUAUAGCAUUUUAUAGACAACUUGUUGACUAUGAUUUGUCUUGUAGCUUACUCGCCUAUGUUAUUUUACCUACGCUUAGGAUGUUGAUCUGUAGUGCGUGCGC
rnacentral:rRNA from 1 species